rnacentral:rRNA from 1 species
AUUGAACGCUGGCGGCAGGCCUAACACAUGCAAGUCGAACGGUAACAGGAAGAAGCUUGCUUCUUUGCUGACGAGUGGCGGACGGGUGAGUAAUGUCUGGGAAACUGCCUGAUGGAGGGGGAUAACUACUGGAAACGGUAGCUAAUACCGCAUACCGUCGCAAGACCAAAGAGGGGGACCUUCGGGCCUCUUGCCAUCGGAUGUGCCCCGAUGGGAUUAGCUAGUAGGUGGGGUAACGGCUCACCUAGGCGACGAUCCCUAGCUGGUCUGAGAGGAUGACCAGCCACACUGGAACUGAGACACGGUCCAGACUCCUACGGGAGGCAGCAGUGGGGAAUAUUGCACAAUGGGCGCAAGCCUGAUGCAGCCAUGCCGCGUGUAUGAAGAAGGCCUUCGGGUUGUAAAGUACUUUCAGCGGGGAGGAAGGGAGUAAAGUUAAUACCUUUACUCAUUGACGUUACCCGCAGAAGAAGCACCGGCUAACUCCGUG